CUCCAUCCGAUCGGUCGGGUUUAGAAUAACCCAAAGCUCCGCGAGUUGUUGGGUCCAUUCGCGAGUUCGAUCUCGAGUCGUCCGUUUCUUCGGCGAAAGGACAAGAGGACACAAGAGUCUUUUCUUUUCUUUUCAUCUCGACGAUGGAGAUCGCCAAAGUGAACGAGAACGCGGGCAGUCUCGUGGAGCAGUCGAUGAACAUCACAGCGGAAUCAAAAUCCGUGGCGACGAUGAAAUCCGUGGAGAGCGUGCAAACGAAAUCCGUAGUCGAGUCGUCGACGUCGAUCAAAUCCGUGACUUCGUCCUCGACCAGGUCUCAUCAAUCGAUGGAGUACGAGGAGACGAUCGAGUACAGCGACUAAUCGAUCCACCACGAAAUCCACGCCGAAUCCAAUUCCGCAUACAACAACGUAUCCUUAUCUUUUUAUUUUUUUUUUUUUUUUUGGAAAUCGCACAGAGGAGAGUCGAGACGCGAUAAAUCUCGAGUCGACUCGAGCAUCUUGUUGAAAAUCUGCCGCUCCAACGCUUCGAGUUUUCGAGGAUUCGAGACUGGAAUAGCCGAGAAACGUGUGGAAACGUGUGGUUUGGUUCCUGUCAGAUGCUUCUGUCGGAUUCAAAGGGAAAUGCGGUUAGAAAGCGGGUGGAAACUCUGCUCCGCAUGUUGAUUCAACGCGAGGAGGAGUUGGGAAGGAAGAAGUUGCGUCACGAAGAGGUGAACGUUCGAGGAAUAUUUUUGGAGAAUAAUGGAGGAAGGAUACGUCGAGUCGAGUCAUGGAAUGGCCGAUCGACGGGGUCAAAGUGUGGAUGGGACGACGGGUUUCAGAAAUAAACCGCUCCCUUCUUCAGUUGCUACGAGUGAUAAUGAAAAAAAAAAGAAAAAGAAAAAGAAAAAAGAAGAAGAGGAAAAGGAAGGAACGCGAGCUCUGGCUCUCCUCCAAUCGGCGUGGUUCAUCGCCAAAUAACGACUCGCCCCAUCCUUUUCUCCCAAGGAUCCUCCACGAAGGUCCCCCUGAUCCUCUUUUAAAUGCCUGUUUAAGCCUCUACGUCAUUGUCACGUCUCGCGAUCCCACACUUCAUUGUGAACUUUCGGUUAUCUUUGUAUAAUAAAGUUUCUAAGAUAUUGUUC